CAGACAUUUAUGCAGUGUGUGAUUCUUUCUAAAACAACUCCCUGGAAGAGAGGACAUUUAAUUCAACAAUUUAUUGGCCACCUACUGUGCACCAGGCAGUAAACUUGGAACUGGGGCUACUGGGUUACAGCAGUGACCAAGACAGAGGUCCCUGUUCUUAAGGAGCAAGUGAGGGCAACAGAAAAGAGCAGUCAGCUGUCAUGCGAGGGCACUCAAGCAGCCCUGUGGAAAGCUCUACGUGGUGAGAAACUGAAGCCUCCUGCCAACACCAACAAGGAACUGAGACCUACUUCCAACAGCCAUCUGAGUGAUCCAUCCUGGAAUCAGAUCCUCCAGCCCCAGUCAAGUCUUCAGAUGACUGCAGCCCUGACCAGCAUCUCAACUGCAACCUCGUGAAUGACCCUGAGCCAGAACCAUGCAACUGAACUCUGCCUGGAUUCAUGACCCACAGAAACUGUGAGAUGGUAGCUGUUUGCUUUGUUAAGCCUCUAAGUCUGGAAAGAAUGUCUUAAGCAGUAGCAGACAAUGAACAAAAGAUUAUUAUUUAGCUGUUGAAUUGGAAGAGGAGGGGAAGAAAAAAUUUUCAGAUCACAGAAUAUUCAUCAUGUAAAACUUCAAAAAUUCUGAAAUUUAAGGAAAAAAUAUCAUUUGUUGGGAAUUUGUUGGGAUUCAUUGUCUCAGUGCCAAGAGACACCCACUCUUUUUUUUUUUUUUUUGAGACAGAGUCCUGCUCUGUUGCCCAGGCUGAAGGGCAGUGGCACGAUCUCAGCUCACCACAACCUCUGCCUCCCAGGUUCAAGUGAUUCUCCUCCCUAAGCCUCCCAAGUGGCUGGGACUACAGGCAUGCAUCACCAUGCCCGGCUAAUUUUUGUACUUUUAGUAGAGACGGGGUUUCACUAUGUUGGCCAGGCUGAUCUCAAACUCUUGACCCCGUGAUCCGCCCGCCUCAGCCUCCCAAAGUGCCGGGAUUACAGGCAUGAGCCACUGCGCCCGGCCGAGACACUCACUCUUAACAUUUUGGUAUAUUUUUUCUCUCUGCGCAUUUUUUAUCCAGCUGACUUUAUUUUGUCUCCUGAAAUCUUCAUUUUUAAAUUAUAGCUUCAGCAUUUAAGAAAAUGUGUCUAACAAAGUCU
rnacentral:lncRNA from 1 species